rnacentral:rRNA from 1 species
GACGAACGCUGGCGGCGUGCUUAACACAUGCAAGUCGAGCGGUAAGGCCCUUUCGGGGUACACGAGCGGCGAACGGGUGAGUAACACGUGGGUGACCUGCCCUCAGCUCUGGGAUAAGCCUGGGAAACUGGGUCUAAUACCGGAUAUGACUCCACGGCGCAUGUUGUGGGGUGGAAAGCCUUGUGUGGCUAGAGAUGGGCCCGCGGCCUAUCAGCUUGUUGGUGGGGUGAUGGCCUACCAAGGCGACGACGGGUAGCCGGCCUGAGAGGGCGACCGGCCACACUGGGACUGAGACACGGCCCAGACUCCUACGGGAGGCAGCAGUGGGGAAUCUUGCGCAAUGGGCGAAAGCCUGACGCAGCGACGCCGCGUGAGGGAUGACGGCCUCGGUGUAAC